rnacentral:lncRNA from 1 species
AGAGCUCCAGUUGUGUCUUGUAAGAAUUGGUCAUUGUUUCAUGGGGACGACUGGCUCCUUUGGGUGGGAUCUGAUGGCAUCUCAUGGAGUUGAGGUUGUCUGCCAACGCUAACUGGCCAGCUCUGACAGGAGGUGCGUGGCCCAGGAGGAGCCAUCAGGCCAGUUCUCUGGGAUACUGCUGUGUCUCCAGCUCUGCAGUUUGCUCUUCGUCACUCAGCGGCAGACGGAGAGGCAGACACGAGCCCCUUGUGAGCCCUCCUCCUUACCGUCAUCUCACAAUGCUCUGAAAUAAGGAGGCAAAUGGCUGAGGUCCCCUCAGUUAAUAACUGGAUUACAAAAGGCAAGUCAUGUUGUCAACAGCCCGAGAUAUGUGAG